GAUGAACGCUGGCGGCGUGCUUAACACAUGCAAGUCGAACGAAGCACUUUAUUUGAUUUCCUUCGGGACUGAUUACUUUGUGACUGAGUGGCGGACGGGUGAGUAACGCGUGGGUAACCUGCCUUGUACAGGGGGAUAACAGUUGGAAACGGCUGCUAAUACCGCAUAAGCGCACGGCAUCGCAUGAUGCAGUGUGAAAAACUCCGGUGGUAUAAGAUGGACCCGCGUUGGAUUAGCUAGUUGGUGAGGUAACGGCCCACCAAGGCGACGAUCCAUAGCCGACCUGAGAGGGUGACCGGCCACAUUGGGACUGAGACGCGGCCCAAACUCCUACGGGAGGCAGCAGUGGGGAAUAUUGCACAAUGGGCGAAAGCCUGAUGCAGCGACGCCGCGUGAGCGAAGAAGUAUUUCGGUAUGUAAAGCUCUAUCAGCAGGGAAGAUAAUGACGGUACCUGACUAAGAAGCACCGGCUAAAUACGUG
rnacentral:rRNA from 1 species